GACACCUCAAACACCACGCCUCUGUCCACAGCCUGCACACACACACACACACACACACACACACAGGACACACAGGUCACACACACACACAGGACACACAGGUCACUCACACACACACACACACACACACAGGACACACAGGUCACACACACACACAGGACACACAGGUCACUCACACACACACACACACACACACACACACACAGGUCACUCACACACACACACACACACACACACACACAGGUCACUCACACACACACACACACACACACACACACAGGACACACAGGUCACACACACACAGGACACACAGGUCACUCACACACACACACACACACACACAGGACACACAGGUCACACACACACACAGGUCACUCACACACACACACACACAGGUCACACACACACACAGGACACACAGGUCACUCACACACACCACACACACACACACACACAGGACACACAGGUCACACACACACACAGGACACACAGGUCACUCACACACACACACCACACACACACACACACACACACCACACACACACACACACACACACACACACACACACACACCCCUCUAAUGAUGCAUGUUUGUUUGAACUGGAGAUGAUCUUUAUGUGUAAAUACAGCAUCAGUGUCCCUGAGUCCCCCCAAAGCCUCUCCAGCAGCUUCCAUCCCAUCUCCUCAGCUUCCAUCCCAUCUCCUCAGCCCCCCUCCCAUCCCAUCUCCUCAGCUUCCAUCCCAUCUCCUCAGCCCCCCUCCCCUCCCAUCUCCUCAGCUCAUCCAUCCCAUCUCUCAGCUUCCAUCCCAUCCCAUCUCCUCCGCUUCCAUCCCAUCUCCUCAGCUCCCAUCCCAUCCCAUCUCCUCAGCUUUCCAUCCCAUCCCAUCUCCUCAGCUUCCAUCCCAUCCCAUCUCCUCAGCUUCCAUCCCAUCCCAUCUCCUCAGCUUCCAUCCCAUCCCAUCUCCUCAGCUUCCAUCCCAUCUCCUCAGCUUCCAUCCCAUCCCAUCUCCUCAGCUUCCAUCCCAUCCCAUCUCCUCAGCUUCCAUCCCAUCCCAUCUCCUCCCCUCCCAUCCCAUCCCAUCUCCUCCCCUCCCAUCCCAUCUCCUCUCCUCCCAUCCCAUCUC
rnacentral:lncRNA from 1 species